rnacentral:lncRNA from 1 species
UUUUUUUUUUUUUUUUUUUCUUUCUUUUAUUUCUCUGAGCUUUAAUAUCCUCCUCUGGAAACUGGGAUCUCAACUUCACAAGAGUAUUAAAUGAGUUUGUAGAAUGCCUGCACACAGUAGGCAUCUGAGAUCCUUUUUCUUCCCCCCAAACCAAGUUGGGCCCCCUGAUGUUUUUAAUGCAAGAAUAUACUGUAUUGACUCCAUUCUCAUUCUCUCUCACCCUUUAUGCAUUUGUUUUUAAUCUUGGUAGAAACUAGAAUAAAACUCAAAGUGAUUGGUGUAAGCCCUCCCUCAGCUUCCUUAGAUAUGGCACUGUCUGGAUGUGGGCUCAUUUUGCAGGAUUUUUUUCUUGGGCAUUAAACCAAAAUCUAAUUCAAGAGAAGGCAAAUAAAAUUUUCUUCCUGAGGGCAAAUAAAAGUUAUGAGGAAAUAUAAAAAUAAUGGAAUGAUCAUGAUCACAGGAAAGCAUAAAAUUCUCAGGAAUAUAUUUCUUUGGAACUCAUAAAAUGGGAGGGGGAAAACCCCUAAAAACCAAAGUGCUCGAUGGUAUAGGCUGUGACACUCUAAUAAGUAAACUGCCAAUGAAAUGAAGGAAAAAGAAGCAAAGAACUAAGUUGUCUUAAUAGAGUUUAGGUUCAGUCAGCUUCUAAAAGUGGGAGAGCAUUAGACAUUGAAUAUGAUUAUUAAAGGAAAUGGAAAUGUUUGAAACACAAAAGUGAGGCUCGUUUGGUUAUGGAAAUUUUGGCCAAGGCUUAUUCUAAGGAGAGCAAAGGGCCAAGCCAGGUAAAGGUUAUCAGCAUUCUUGACUCCACAUGCCACCUGAAGUCACACUUUAUGGUUUCCCCAUCUCCACCUGGUGCUCCCGCAAGCCCCUGUUGCUUGCUUGAUUCAGCAGACCAAGAUGAGCUGUUCUGGGGAUACGUGAGUUUCAUCAGAUUUGAUUUUUGUCAAAGGAGAAUGGGGGAAGAAAAGGUGGAUAGUGACGACAGAAUGGACAGCAGGGCAGUGACGCUGUUGAGGAUUAGGGCUGGAGCGUCAGAAUUGUGACUAAUUUGUGCCACCUGCUAAGAGAUGCAUAGUAGAAAUAAUUUUACUUAUGCUACCAGCACUGAUUAUUCUUGUUAGAACAAUGACAGCAAUAACCACAAUAAUAGCUAUUUUUGAGAUGUUAUGAUGCAUCUGGUUCUUUUUAUAUGUGAUCUGCUAUCUCAACACCCCUGUGAAGAAAAGUGUACUACACCUAUUUUCUGGAUAGGGAAACUCGUUCAGAGAGGGCAAGUAACUUGCCUACAGUCACAGGACAGGUAUCCGGGGACUCUUUCUCCUCCUGCUUGCCUUUUGGCAACCAGACUGCAUAGAUUAGCCCUUUCUCACUCCCCCUCUCAGCAGUUUAUAACCUUGGACAUUAAACCUGCAUUCAUCAGGGAAGAAUGCCUUGCGUCGGCAGACCUGGGUGGCCCUGCUCUUGCUGGGCGUCAUUUCACGUGAACAGCAACCUGGUCUGGCACGUCAGAGGAGCAUGAACAUGUUCACCCCUGAGUGGUGCCACCUGCUGAUGCUCCCGUGGCAUCAGCAUUUGGCCACCUCCAGGGUUUGAUGUGCAACUGAAACUCAAAGUUCAGGAAAGAAACAGAAGGCUUACUGGAGCUUAGAGAAACAGCAAUGCCUGAGCAACAUAGACUACUUGCAAGGUUGUUGUUUUUAAGUCUCUUAACUUAGUAAAAUGUUCAAAACCCAGAUAUCAUGAUAUGUGGAAAGAUCAGGGGACUUGGGAGCUAUGAAACAUGGGAAUCCUCCAAUCUCUUUGAUCCUCAGUUUUGCCAUUGGUAAAAUGGGCUAGUAAUGCCUCUAUCCAAAACUGAUUAUGAAGCAUAAAUGAAAUGACAUGUAGCUAGGGGUUAAGCACAGACUAAAUUUUUAUUAAAUGACUUGAUCUGAAUGCAUAAUUCUGGUUUAGAGGCCUCCGAUCACAGACUCUUCAUAGGCAGAAAUAAGAUGAAGUCAUUAACAAGAAUUACUGUCAAUAUCUCCAACAACUGCCACGUUUAUUCUCCACUCCCCACCCUGUUCUAGAUAUUUCUGAUUUGAAUAUGAGGGGCCAUGAGUUAAAUGUAUUCAUGAGCACUAUGAGGUUUGAGUUCACAAACAAGCUUGUAAAUGCUAGGAAAUCUCCUGUAUCACAGAAUAUAGGGUUAGUAAUAUUAUAGAGGAAGAACUUUCAUAAAAAGGGGCCACAUCUACAUGAUGCAAGAAAGAUCCAUGGUAGGGUCCAUAUGGCAUUUUAAAAUCUAUUUUCUAAUCUGUGGUGUGGAUGUUUCCUUACUGUCUUGCAAUCUGCCGUGGUGAUUGGGAUGGUUUCAGGACUCUGAAACCAGCAGUCAUUAUUUUGGUCUCAGAGUCAGAGCUAGUGUUAUUUCAGCAUGGUUCACAAAAUUUUCACUGAGGUUGUAUGUAUAAGGUAUUUUGUUAGCUACAGAGGCAUUUCACAGACAGUACACUUCUGUAGACAGUACACAGUGAAUAAGACCGGCCUGUUGUCAAGAAACUUCUAACCUAAGAAGUGGGAAGAGACAGUUGAGGUCAGAAUCAAAUCAAAUCAAACCAAAUAGGAGAAUGCAUAUAAAAGUACCAAGAGAUGGUGUUGGUGGUUGGUAGUGAUUUGUUAUUGCAGUGUCCAAUGAAGAAGACUCCAUGAAAGAAAAGUCUAGAUAUUCCAGACCACUACACAGCUAAGUCAUGCUCCAUACCAUCUGAUUCAGCACAUCAGACUACAAGACCUAUGUAUGCAGGGAGGGAAAAUUUAAGGUUAUCUAGAUUCUAGGGCUUAGAAAUACCACUCCCUUGAGACUAGAGACAACUAAGGCCUGAAUGUGAUCAAGAAUGAGGUUUGCCUUGUUUGAGGAAACGUAGAUGUGCAGCUAGGAACCUGCAGAGGUGGAGUAAAAAAGAAUGGGGCUGAAGACUCUCAGGAUCAGAGUGACCAGUAGUUAUCUGACAGGAAAGAGUUACACUGUGGUCAGCAGUGACCACUAGACCCCAUUGUCCCAUAUUCCCUCCUAGUGAGUUGUUUACUGCCUUGUCAGUGUUCUCUUUGCCUUUUGCUUAAUCGUGUCAAAGUCCAUUUUUUCCCUCACUAUCUAAUCAGGGUUGUUGGUUACUUAUGUCAUUUAUGACCUCCAGCGUGUAUUUUUUUUCACUAUUCUUUAUCUCUUUAGUGAAACUGUUUGGCCUUUAGGUGGGAAGGCAUUGUGCACCAGUGGAAAGAGGUACAAAUAGGGAGGCACAAGAUCUGGGUGGUGGGCUAGUUAUGGGCCUGAAGGAAACCAUGCCCUCUUAGCCUCCCAUCCCUCAUGUGCAAAGUGGGCCUAGUAACAAACACUCCUGUACCGCUUUUCCGUGUUGUUGUUCUGAGUGAGCAAUAUCCUCUAAGUGAGUGCUUUGAAAACUAUAAAGCCUACCCUAAUUACAAGAUGACUAAACCAUGCUACUUCAUGGAAGCAAACAUUACCAAUGCUCCUGUGAUACACGUGCAUAUGUACACAAACACACACACCCCACUUAUGAGAAUCAGAAAAUAAGGUUCUGGGCCUAGUUUUAUGCCGAAUGGCUAGAGCAUAUUGCCUAAGGGAGGGAAGUACCAUUUAUUGACCCCUUACUCCUUACAGGACGUUUUCUGGGCACUUCACAUAAAAGUCCCCACUACAUCAGCCAGGUAGGCAUUGUUUUGGAGAGGAAGGAGUUGAUCCUCUCUCUGGCUCAAGGUCACACCAUAAGUAAGUAGCAAGGACUUAAACACAGAUCUGUGACCCUAACGCAUCCCACGACCUUUGACUCAUUAUCUAUGCAGUGAAGGAGGGAUCUCUUCUAGCUGUGAUAUUCUAUGGUCUUCCCUCCUGAAACUGCAUAUUUUUUAACAUACACGGUUGUCCUAAAGCAAAGUAGAUGGUUUUAUUUAUUUUUUUAAAGUAGAUGGUUUUAAACAAUAAUAUUGGUGACUUAGAUUAGACCAUAAAAUGUUUUCUCUUGGGAAGUAUCGUUAAAAUGAAUGGAUUAUUUAGUGACUAGAAAUCUUCAAAAUUCUGGGUGCCUGACUGGUUCAGUUGGUUGGACAUCUGACUCUUGAUUUUGGCUCAGGUCAUGAUCUCAGGGUAGUGGGAUGAGCAACUUUGGGCUCUGCGCUCAGCAGGGAGUUGGCUUAAAGGAUUUUCUCUCCCUUUACCUCUCCCCCUGCCCAUGCUCAUAUUCUCUCUCUCUAAAAUAAAUAAAUGAAUCUUUUUUUUUGAAAAAAGAAAUCUUCAAAAUACUGGUAGGUAUGAAAGAAACUGGAUAGCUCUAAGUUUCUGUCUCCUAUUCCCCUACUCCUUGGGUUGCUUCAUCCCAUAGGAAUGAAGAGUGCCAGGCUGACCAUAUCCUGGAAAGCUUGAUAAAAGGCCCAGACUCUGUGACACAGGCAGGCAGCCAGCAUAUGCAAACAGUGGACCAGUGAAUUGUGUAGUGACCACUCAGUACCAUCUACUCUCCCGCAAAAUGAAGAACAGGGUCACUCAGCCUCCCAGGAUUUUAAUCCAGUUACCUACAAAUUCAACUUUGUGCCUUUCUGAAUAGCCAGACAUAAAUUUUUUUUGCAAGUCAAUAUUUUUUCAACAAUAAGAAUCUGGACUUUGAAGUCAGAUAGAACUUAUACUUAAAUUCUAGCUCAGAGCUUCCUAGUUGUAUUACUUUGGGCAAGUCCUCUAAGGUUUAUUUUAUUUUAUUUUAUUUUAUUUAUUAAUGAUAGUCACACAGAGAGAAAGAGAGGCAGAGACACAGGCAGAGGGAGAAGCAGGCUCCAUACAGGGAGCCCGACGUGGGACUCGAUCCCGGGUCUCCAGGAUCGCGCCCCGGGCCAAAGGCAGGCACUAAACCACUGCACCACCCAGGGAUCCCCCUCUAAGGUUUUUGAACCUUAGUUUCCUCAGGAGCAAAAAGAUGGUAAUAAAAUGUAACCUACAACAUUUUUGGAGGAUUGGAUUGACUGAUGAACAAAAGGGUUAUGCAUCAUGCCUGGCAAAAAUUAAUUACUGGAUAAAUAACAGUUGCUAUCCUCCUCCUCAUCAUCAUCCCCUUCUCCUCCUACAUUCUCCAAAUUACCAUUUCCCUCUUGGUCACCAAAGAAGAGUCAUUCUGAACAUUUGCUCCCACAAUACCCAACUUCAUCAUCUUCUGUGUCCUUCAUCCUUCAUUCUGCCUCACUCCCACCCUCAAGAGCUUUUUUCAUUCAAUAUGCAGAAAAACUAAGCUGGAUUCUGAGCUCAUCUCAAAAGUGGCAUGCCCAUAGCCAAGAAGAAUCAGAACCCAUACCCAGAAGGUAGUGGGGAGUUGUAGGUGAGGAAAGAUUUUUAUCACCCAUUAUGGUUUGCAAAGUUUGAAAGUGUGACUUAUUCCUUGAAGGAGAUAAAGAGAGGUAGAAGCAUGUUUGAGGGCAUUGAAGAAAAUGGCAUGUGAUUUGUUGAAAGUGUAAAGGGGCAUGAAGGAGGAGAGAUGAAUAAAGAGAUGGCCAUGCAUUAAAGACUUAAAUAUGAGACAGAAAACCAUUAAAAUCCUAGAGGAGAACACAGGCAUUAGCCUCUUUGACAUAGGCCAUAGCAACUUCUUACUGGAUAUGUCUUCUGAGGCAAGGGAAACAAAAGCAAAAUAAACUAUUG